rnacentral:rRNA from 1 species
UACGUAGGGUGCAAGCGUUAAUCGGAAUUACUGGGCGUAAAGCGUGCGCAGGCGGUUUUGUAAGUCUGUCGUGAAAGCCCCGGGCUCAACCUGGGAAUUGCGAUGGAGACUGCAAGGCUUGAAUCUGGCAGAGGGGGGUAGAAUUCCACGUGUAGCAGUGAAAUGCGUAGAGAUGUGGAGGAACACCGAUGGCGAAGGCAGCCCCCUGGGUCUAGAUUGACGCUCAUGCACGAAAGCGUGGGGAGCAAACAGG